rfam:Colinus virginianus strain Texas jcf7180006226687, whole genome shotgun sequence.
CACCAGGCUGCUCUGGCAGCCACUAUACACAGUAAAAUAAUUAAAU